UUUUGCUCAAAGCUAGCACUCUACCACUUGAGCCACAGCGUCACUUCUGGUUUUUUCUGUAUAUGUGGUACUAAGUAAUCGAACCCAGGGCUUCAUGUAUACAAGGCAAGCACUCUUGCCAUGAGGCCGCAUUUCCAGCCCCCAGAUCCUUUUCAACCAGCCAUUCUCCUGU